UGGGGAAUAUUGGACAAUGGGCGAAAGCCUGAUCCAGCCAUGCCGCGUGUGUGAAGAAGGCCUUUUGGUUGUAAAGCACUUUAAGCGAGGAGGAGGCUACUGAGAUUAAUACUCUUGGAUAGUGGACGUUACUCGCAGAAUAAGCACCGGCUAACUCUGUGCCAGCAGCCGCGGUAAUACAGAGGGUGCGAGCGUUAAUCGGAUUUACUGGGCGUAAAGCGUGCGUAGGCGGCUUCUUAAGUCGGAUGUGAAAUCCCUGAGCUUAACUUAGGAAUUGCAUUCGAUACUGGGAAGCUAGAGUAUGGGAGAGGAUGGUAGAAUUCCAGGUGUAGCGGUGAAAUGCGUAGAGAUCUGGAGGAAUACCGAUGGCGAAGGCAGCCAUCUGGCCUAAUACUGACGCUGAGGUACGAAAGCAUGGGGAGCAAACAGG
rnacentral:rRNA from 2 species